GACGAACGCUGGCGGCGUGCUUAACACAUGCAAGUCGAACGGAAAGGCCCUGCUUUUGUGGGGUGCUCGAGUGGCGAACGGGUGAGUAACACGUGAGUAACCUGCCCUUGACUUUGGGAUAACUUCAGGAAACUGGGGCUAAUACCGGAUAGGAGCUCCUGCUGCAUGGUGUGGGUUGGAAAGUUUCGGCGGUUGGGGAUGGACUCGCGGCUUAUCAGCUUGUUGGUGGGGUAGUGGCUUACCAAGGCUUUGACGGGUAGCCGGCCUGAGAGGGUGACCGGCCACAUUGGGACUGAGAUACGGCCCAGACUGCUACGGGAGGCAGCAGGGGGGAAUAUUGCACAAUGGGCGGAAGCCUGAUGCAGCAACGCCGCGUGCGGGAUGACGGCCUUCGGGUUGUAAACCGCUUUCGCCUGUGACGAAGCGUGAGUGACGGUAAUGGGUAAAGAAGCACCGGCUAACUACGUG
rnacentral:rRNA from 1 species